AUUGAACGCUGGCGGCAAGCUUAACACAUGCAAGUCGAGCGGGGUGAUGGUGCUUGCACUAUCACUUAGCGGCGGACGGGUGAGUAAUGCUUAGGAAUCUGCCUAUUAGUGGGGGACAACAUCUCGAAAGGGAUGCUAAUACCGCAUACGUCCUACGGGAGAAAGCAGGGGAUCACUUGUGACCUUGCGCUAAUAGAUGAGCCUAAGUCGGAUUAGCUAGUUGGUGGGGUAAAGGCCUACCAAGGCGACGAUCUGUAGCGGGUCUGAGAGGAUGAUCCGCCACACUGGGACUGAGACACGGCCCAGACUCCUACGGGAGGCAGCAGUGGGGAAUAUUGGACAAUGGGGGGAACCCUGAUCCAGCCAUGCCGCGUGUGUGAGGAAGGCCUUAUGGUUGUAAAGCACUUUAAGCGAGGAGGAGGCUCUUUUGGUUAAUACCCAAGAUGAGUGGACGUUACUCGCAGAAUAAGCACCGGCUAACUCUGUGCCAGCCGCCGCGGUAA
rnacentral:rRNA from 1 species